GGGCAGAAGAUGGAGAGGCCGGGCACACGCUGAAUUCUCAGAACAGAAAUAUACUCCAAGCAAUGUAGGUAGCAUGUGUCUUGCUUCUCCAGCUUCACUUA
rnacentral:pre_miRNA from 1 species